rnacentral:rRNA from 1 species
GUGUCAGCCGCCGCGGUAAGACGAACCGUCCAAACGUUAUUCGGAAUCACUGGGCUUAAAGGGUGCGUAGGCGGCACGGCAAGUUGGGUGUGAAAGCCCUCGGCUCAACCGAGGAAUUGCGCCCAAAACUGCCGCGCUCGAGGGAGACAGAGGUGAGCGGAACUUAGGGUGGAGCGGUGAAAUGCGUUGAUAUCCUAAGGAACACCGGUGGCGAAAGCGGCUCACUGGGUCUCUUCUGACGCUGAGGCACGAAAGCUAGGGGAGCGAACGGGAUUAGAUACCCCGGUAGUCCUAGCUGUAAACGAUGAGCACUGGGUCGGAGAGUCUUCCAUAACUUUCCGGCCGAAGCUAACGCGUUAAGUGGGCCGCCUGGGGAGUACGGCCGCAAGGUUAAAACUUAAAGGAAUUGACGGGG